AGAGUUUGAUCCUGGCUCAGGAUGAACGCUGGCGGCGUGCUUAACACAUGCAAGUCGAGCGAAGCAUAGAUGUGGAAGUUUUCGGAUGGAAGCGUGUAUGACUGAGCGGCGGACGGGUGAGUAACGCGUGGGUAACCUGCCUCAUACAGGGGGAUAACAGUUAGAAAUGACUGCUAAUACCGCAUAAGCGCACAGGACCGCAUGGUCCGGUGUGAAAAACUCCGGUGGUAUGAGAUGGACCCGCGUCUGAUUAGCUGGUUGGUGAGGUAACGGCCCACCAAGGCGACGAUCAGUAGCCGACCUGAGAGGGUGGCCGGCCACAUUGGGACUGAGACACGGCCCAAACUCCUACGGGAGGCAGCAGUGGGGAAUAUUGCACAAUGGGGGAAACCCUGAUGCAGCAACGCCGCGUGAGUGAAGAAGUAUUUCGGUAUGUAAAGCUCUAUCAGCAGGGAAGAGAAUGACGGUACCUGACUAAGAAGCCCCGGCUAACUACGUGCCAGCAGCCGCGGUAAUACGUAGGGGGCAAGCGUUAUCCGGAUUUACUGGGUGUAAAGGGAGCGUAGACGGCUGUACAAGUCUGAAGUGAAAGCCCGUGGCUCAACCGCGGAACUGCUUUGGAAACUGUAAAGCUGGAGUACUGGAGAGGCAGGCGGAAUUCCUAGCGUAGCGGUGAAAUGCGUAGAUAUUAGGAGGAACACCGGUGGCGAAGGCGGCUCACUGGACUGUAACUGACGUUGAGGCUCGAAAGCGUGGGGAGCAAACAGGAUUAGAUACCCUGGUAGUCCACGCCGUAAACGAUGAU
rnacentral:rRNA from 1 species